UGGGGAAUAUUGCACAAUGGAGGGAACUCUGAUGCAGCGACGCCGCGUGAACGAAGAAGGCUUUCGAGUCGUAAAGUUCUUUUAAAUGGGAAGAUAAUGACGGUACCAUAAGAAAAAGCCCCGGCUAACUACGUGCCAGCAGCCGCGGUAAUACGUAGGGGGCUAGCGUUGUCCGGAAUCACUGGGCGUAAAGGGUUCGCAGGCGGAAAUGCAAGUCAGGUGUAAAAGGCAGUAGCUUAACUACUGUAAGCAUUUGAAACUGCAUAUCUUGAGAAGAGUAGAGGUAAGUGGAAUUUUUAGUGUAGCGGUGAAAUGCGUAGAUAUUAAAAAGAAUACCGGUGGCGAAGGCGACUUACUGGGCUCAUUCUGACGCUGAGGAACGAAAGCGUGGGUAGCAAACAGG
rnacentral:rRNA from 2 species